UACAGAGGGUGCGAGCGUUAAUCGGAUUUACUGGGCGUAAAGCGUGCGUAGGCGGUUGGGUAAGUCGGAUGUGAAAGCCCUGGGCUUAACCUGGGAAUGCCAUUCGAUACUGCCCGACUCGAGUUCGGUAGAGGGCGGUGGAACUCCAGGUGUAGCGGUGAAAUGCGUAGAUAUCUGGAAGAACACCAAUGGCGAAGGCAACCGCCUGGGCCUGAACUGACGCUGAGGCACGAAAGCGUGGGGAUCAAACAGG
rnacentral:rRNA from 1 species